rnacentral:rRNA from 1 species
CCUACGGGGAGCAGCAGUGGGGAAUAUUGGACAAUGGGCGAAAGCCUGAUCCAGCCAUGCCGCGUGUGUGAAGAAGGCCUUCGGGUUGUAAAGCACUUUCAGUGGGGAAGAAAGCCUUGGGGCUAAUACCCUCGAGGAAGGACAUCACCCACAGAAGAAGCACCGGCUAACUCCGUGCCAGCAGCCGCGGUAAUACGGAGGGUGCGAGCGUUAAUCGGAAUUACUGGGCGUAAAGCGCGCGUAGGCGGUCUGAUAAGCCGGUUGUGAAAGCCCCGGGCUCAACCUGGGAACGGCAUCCGGAACUGUCAGGCUAGAGUGCAGGAGAGGAAGGUAGAAUUCCCGGUGUAGCGGUGAAAUGCGUAGAGAUCGGGAGGAAUACCAGUGGCGAAGGCGGCCUUCUGGACUGACACUGACGCUGAGGUGCGAAAGCGUGGGUAGCAAACAGGAUUAGAUACCCGAGUAGUC